UGCUGGAGGUAUCAGAAGUGCGAAUGCUGACAUAAGUAACGAUAAAGCGGGUGAAAAGCCCGCUCGCCGGAAGACCAAGGGUUCCUGUCCAACGUUAAUCGGGGCAGGGUGAGUCGACCCCUAAGGCGAGGCCGAAAGGCGUAGUCGAUGGGAAACAGGUUAAUAUUCCUGUACUUGGUGUUACUGCGAAGGGGGGACGGAGAAGGCUAUGUUAGCCGGGCGACGGUUGUCCCGGUUUAAGCAUGUAGGCGGAACGAUUAGGUAAAUCCGGUCGUUUAUUAACGCUGAGGUGUGAUGACGAGGCACUACGGUGCUGAAGUAACAAAUGCCCUGCUUCCAGGAAAAGCCUCUAAGCAUCAGGUAACAUCAAAUCGUACCCCAAACCGACACAGGUGGUCAGGUAGAGAAUACCAAGGCGCUUGAGAGAACUCGGGUGAAGGAACUAGGCAAAAUGGUGCCGUAACUUCGGGAGAAGGCACGCUGAUAUGUAGGUGAAGCCCCUGCGGGUGGAGCUGAAAUCAGUCGAAGAUACCAGCUGGCUGCAACUGUUUAUUAAAAACACAGCACUGUGCAAACACGAAAGUGGACGUAUACGGUGUGACGCCUGCCCGGUGCCGGAAGGUUAAUUGAUGGGGUUAGCGGCAACGCGAAGCUCUUGAUCGAAGCCCCGGUAAACGGCGGCCGUAACUAUAACGGUCCUAAGGUAGCGAAAUUCCUUGUCGGGUAAGUUCCGACCUGCACGAAUGGCGUAAUGAUGGCCAGGCUGUCUCCACCCGAGACUCAGUGAAAUUGAACUCGCUGUGAAGAUGCAGUGUACCCGCGGCAAGACGGAAAGACCCCGUGAACCUUUACUAUAGCUUGACACUGAACACUGGUCCUUGAUGUGUAGGAUAGGUGGGAGGCUUUGAAGCGUGGACGCCAGUCUGCGUGGAGCCGUCCUUGAAAUACCACCCUUUAAUGGCUGGUGUUCUAACGUAGACCCGUAAUCCGGGUUGCGGACAGUGUCUGGUGGGUAGUUUGACUGGGGCGGUCUCCUCCCAAAGAGUAACGGAGGAGCACGAAGGUUAGCUAAUCCUGGUCGGACAUCAGGAGGUUAGUGCAAUGGCAUAAGCUAGCUUGACUGCGAGAGUGACGGCUCGAGCAGGUGCGAAAGCAGGUCAUAGUGAUCCGGUGGUUCUGAAUGGAAGGGCCAUCGCUCAACGGAUAAAAGGUACUCCGGGGAUAACAGGCUGAUACCGCCCAAGAGUUCAUAUCGACGGCGGUGUUUGGCACCUCGAUGUCGGCUCAUCACAUCCUGGGGCUGAAGUAGGUCCCAAGGGUAUGGCUGUUCGCCAUUUAAAGUGGUACGCGAGCUGGGUUUAGAACGUCGUGAGACAGUUCGGUCCCUAUCUGCCGUGGGCGUUGGAGAAUUGAUUGGGGCUGCUCCUAGUACGAGAGGACCGGAGUGGACGCACCACUGGUGUUCCGGUUGUGUCGCCAGACGCAUUGCCGGGUAGCUAAGUGCGGAAGAGAUAAGUGCUGAAAGCAUCUAAGCACGAAACUUGCCAAGAGAUGAGUUCUCCCAGAUUACAAAUCUGUAAGGGUUGUUUAAGACUAAGACGUAGAUAGGCAUGGUGUGUAAGCGGUGCGAGCCGUUGAGCUAACAUGUACUAAUUGCCCGAGAGGCUUAACUAU
rnacentral:rRNA from 1 species